GACGAACGCUGGCGGCGUGCUUAACACAUGCAAGUCGAGCGGUAAGGCCCUUUCGGGGGUACACGAGCGGCGAACGGGUGAGUAACACGUGGGUGACCUGCCCUUAGCUCUGGGAUAAAGCCUGGGAAACUGGGUCUAAUACCGGAUAUGACCUCAUGACGCAUGUUGUGGGGUGGAAAGCCUUGUGCGGCUAGGGAUGGGCCCGCGGCCUAUCAGCUUGUUGGUGGGGUGAUGGCCACCAAGGCGACGACGGGUAGCCGGCCUGAGAGGGCGACCGGCCACACUGGGACUGAGACACGGCCCAGACUCCUACGGGAGGCAGCAGUGGGGAAUCUUGCGCAAUGGGCGAAAGCCUGACGCAGCGACGCCGCGUGAGGGAUGACGGCC
rnacentral:rRNA from 1 species